UCUUCCAUGUGAGAUGCUGUGUGGUGGCCACAGGGUGGAGGUAUGACUCCAAUAGGAAAGCUAUUACAUAUGAGUCAUGGGCUCUAAGGAGACCCAAAUCACAAGAUCCUCUGCAGAAAUUCUGGACCAUUCAAGUUUUCCAUGAUAUGGGAUGAGAAUGAAGCAAUCAUGAGAAGAGGCAAAGCUGAUGGGAAAUUGAUCCAUCCUGGAACAAGGAGAGCUCAAAGAGGAGACACUGCGGUUGCAGAAGAGUGAUGGCAAUUCUUUCCCUCACCAAUUACUGAAGAACUUUGAAUCAACUACUUGGUGGGCCUGCGAAACUCAAAGUUUAUAUGAAGAGGCAUUGGAACCUGCAGAAAUCGCACUAUGUUGGAACUGACUUGGAGAACCUGACGUUCAACUGAGCCAGUGAAAGACAAGAAGUGGAGAGGCAGAACUCAGAUGGCUGUGACCUUGAGCUCCUGGGAACCCAACUAAAGGGGAGGACACAAACUCAUUAGUGUUUUAUUGAAUGGCCUGACAAGAGAAAAGAGAUUAUCUGUCAAUCACAGAAAAGCAUUCAGCUGUAGUUAGGAGGUUUUCUGGUCCCUUACACUAAGGAAUAUCCUGUAGCUUUGUGGUCACUAUCUUCUUUACUCUCCUUAGGUUCUCAAUGAGGUUGGUAUUUCUACCUUUAUUUUGCAAAUGAGGAAGUGGAAUCCAGAAGAUGGUUGGCAAUCAGACUAAGUCACAAAGUACAUCAGUUGUUGGAAUCCAAACCCAGUGGAACCACAGGAUGUCACAACUAACUAUUGUGACCUAUGGCCUGCUAGCAUCCACAGCAUCUACUGGAAGGCCACUGCUAGAAAGUGGGUCUUAAUGAACAGGUACUGAAGCUGAAAUUAGAAGGUUGCAUUACCAGCCCAUCUGCUAAUGGUUUAUACAUACUUGCUUAACAAGACACAAAUGCUUUAUGAAUGCCAGUAGUAUCUAUACUAUUUAUGGCAUAUCUUUAGUAGAGAAAUUAAGAUAAUAUAUCAUGUUCUGGUGUACUUGGUAAUUGACAAAGAACUUUUAUGAACAUUUGAUCAUUUUAUACAUGAACUAAAUGACAAAGGUGAGGGUUAUGUUUCUCCUCAUUUAAUCAAUGGAGCAAAGAAUAAGCCAGUUAUAGUCUUUAGUGCUCAGAUUCUAGAGAGUAAACAGUUGUUAAUUGAUAAUAGAGCUGAUGCUUGCUGUGGGAUGGUCUGUAUGUCAAAUGUGUUGCUGAUUGGUCAAUAAAUAAAUCACUGAUUGGUCAGUGGCCAGGCAGGAAGUAUAGGCGGGACAAGGAGGAGAAAAAACUGGGAAGUGGAAGGCUGAGUCGGAGAGACACUGCCAGGCGCCAUGAUGACAAGCCGCAUGUGAAGAUGCCGGUAAGCCACGAGCCAUGUGGCAAGGUAUAGAUUAAUGGAAAUGGAUUAAUUUAAGCUGUAAGAACAGUUAGCAAGAAGCCUGCCACAGCCAUACAGUUUGUAACCAAUAUAAGUCUCUGUCUCUGUGUUUACUUGGUUGGGUCUGACGGCUGUGGGACUGGCAGGUGAGAGAGAUUUGUACUGACUGUGGGCCAGGCAGGAAAACUCAAGCAACAGAUGCUGGAAAUCUUUUCUCAAGAAAUGAAAAGGUACCUCUCACAGAGACUAGUUUUCAGUGUCCCUGAUGUGCAGAAUGAUGUGCAGAAUGAGCAGAAAACCAGUGAUGACAGUGACGUAAAGUUGUGAAGUUCUUAUCUGAAGCCCAGUGUUAUGCGGAGUGAUCAAAACACUCCUUUCAUCAAUGUGCUCCCAGUUUCAUGGGAUUUUACUCAUGUUAUUCACAUCUUAUAGAUGAAGGAAUUGAAGCUUUAAAAGGAUUUUUUUUGUUUUCUUUUUUUCAAGACAGGGUUUUUCUGUGUAGCUUUGGAGCCUGUCCUGGAACUCAUUCUGUAGACCAGGCUGGCCUCGAGCUCACAGAGAUCCACCUGCCUCUGCCUCCCGGGUGCUGGGAUUAAAGGCAUGAGCCACCACUGCCCAGUUCGAAGCUUUCAAAGGUUUUAUUACUCACCCAAAGUCAUAUCACUAUAGCCCUCAUCAAAUGAUCUUAAGAUUUUAGUUUUAAUGAUUGGACUUUUGCAAACGGCCUAAUCUGUUCAGUUUCUUUUAAUAGCCAUGUUACUUUUAGUUUGUUUUAUCAUUUACUUUGUAAAUCAAAAGGAGGUCAAGAUCAUGAUGAGGAAAUCAACAGAGACAACUGAACAAAGCCCAAAGGAACUCACGUACUUUAGACCUAUAGUUGUGGAACCUGCAGGGACCAGACCCUCUGCAUAAGGGAGACAGUUGUAUAGCUGGGUCUGUUUGAGGGGGCCCUGGCAGUGUGAUCAGGAUCUAUCCCUGGUGCAUGAGCUGACUUUCUGGAUCCCAUUACCUAUGGUCAGACACCUUGCUCAUCCUUGAUAAAGUGGAGAGAAGCUUAGUCCUGCCUCAACUGAAUGUACCAAGCUUAUCUGCCUCCCCAUGGGAGAACUUACCCUGGUGGAGAAGGGGAUGAGGGGUGGGAGAGAUGAGGAGGGGAGAUAAGAGAGGGAUCUGUGGUUGGUAUGUAAAAAUGAAUUUAAAAAAAUUAAAGUUAAUGAAGAAAAAAAAAAGAAUUGCUUGAUUUAUCCUGUGGCUUUUACCAGAUCAGAGGUAUGAUGUGUUGUUUGCUGCAUAGGGUUGGCUUUGGAAUGCAAGAAAACUAGGAGAUUCUAGAUUCAAACCACAGCUGCUUGUAGGAAUAUUGACUAUUUUCCCCCACAUAGUUUGCUGUUUUUGGUGAAAGAAAUGAAUUUUGUGUAAACAUUAGAAAUCAUUGUAUUCAAAUCUACUGAUGGAGAUAACAUCAAGUCACAAAAUAAAUGCCAGUUCUUCUCUUUGUGGUAACACAUCACUGCACACCACAAAUCAUGUAAAGAGGCAUAUUCUAGGCUUCUGCAAUGAAAUGUCUUCUGAUAACUUCAGAAGCUUCACAUAUUCUCCCAAGACAGAACCCAAAAGG